rnacentral:rRNA from 1 species
AUUGAACGCUGGCGGCAUGCCUUACACAUGCAAGUCGAACGCAGCGGGGGAGAAGCUUGCUUUUCCUGCCGGCGAGUGGCGAACGGGUGAGUAAUACAUCGGAACGUGCCCUGUAGAGGGGGAUAACUAGUCGAAAGAUUAGCUAAUACCGCAUACGACCUGAGGGUGAAAGUGGGGGACCGCAAGGCCUCAUGCUAUAGGAGCGGCCGAUGUCUGAUUAGCUAGUUGGUGGGGUAAAGGCCUACCAAGGCGACGAUCAGUAGCUGGUCUGAGAGGACGAUCAGCCACACUGGGACUGAGACACGGCCCAGACUCCUACGGGAGGCAGCAGUGGGGAAUUUUGGACAAUAGGCGAAAGCCUGAUCCAGCAAUGCCGCGUGUGUGAAGAAGGCCUUCGGGUUGUAAAGCACUUUUGUCCGGAAAGAAAUGGCUCUGGUUAAUACCUGGGGUCGAUGACGGUACCGGAAGAAUAAGGACCGGCUAACUACGUGCCAGCAGCCGCAGUAA